GUUCUCUAUACUUCCUAAGAGGACAGCACAGAGCACUUGUUUCACAAGGAGGCAGCGAGAGACUUGCAUCCCCCCCACCCAAGAAUAAAACCUGAUUCUAGGAAACAGCUACAUCUGCUGAGACUCUGCUUCCAGUGUUGUGACAUCACUGUAACAACAAAACACUCGUUCAGAAGAACCUUGGCAGUGAUCCCGGAGAACGUGGAACUGACUCUCACCUUCAUUAAGACAGCUGCUGAGUCGAACCAGGGGCUUGCUCCAGCACCUUGUCAGAGAGAGGAUACGGGGAUUUCUGGCAGAAUCCAGACUUUAAUGAACAUACCAGUAUCCUAAAAUCUGUCUUGUUUGGCAAACAAAUAAGGUGAAGAGAACCUGAAAAUCAAAAGGAAGUUCGAGUCCCUAGGUUAACAAAAGACUUGGAGAGCCCUGUCAUGUGAUGGCAGUCAUGGUACUGGAAGAGUCUGGAGAACUUCGUAGCAUGUCUGCAUUCGUUGAGGAACUUCUUUUUCUUCUUUUU